rnacentral:rRNA from 1 species
UAGGGAAUCUUCGGCAAUGGACGGAAGUCUGACCGAGCAACGCCGCGUGAGUGAAGAAGGUUUUCGGAUCGUAAAGCUCUGUUGUUAGAGAAGAACGUUGGUAGGAGAGGAAAAUCUACCAAGUGACGGUAACUAACCAGAAAGGGACGGCUAACUACGUGCCAGCAGCCGCGGUAAUACGUAGGUCCCGAGCGUUGUCCGGAUUUAUUGGGCGUAAAGCGAGCGCAGGCGGUUCUUUAAGUCUGAAGUUAAAGGCAGUGGCUUAACCAUUGUACGCUUUGGAAACUGGAGGACUUGAGUGCAGAAGGGGAGAGUGGAAUUCCAUGUGUAGCGGUCAAAUGCGUAGAUAUAUGGAGGAACACCGGUGGCGAAAGCGGCUCUCUGGUCUGUAACUGACGCUGAGGCUCGAAAGCGUGGGGAGCAAACAGG